GAGGGCCGCCGCUCAUCCGCCGGGUGCGGCGCCGGCGCCGGGUCCCGCCGCGACGAAGCCGGCACCCCCGCAGCAGGCGCCGCGGCAGAUCCUUCGAGCGGCCGCGCCACAACCCGAGGACGACCCGACCAUUCCCGAGGACGACCCGACCAUUCCCGACGA
rnacentral:RNase_MRP_RNA from 1 species